rnacentral:rRNA from 1 species
UGCGUAGGUGGUUUGUUAAGUCUGUUGUGAAAGCCCCGGGCUCAACCUGGGAAUGGCAAUGGAUACUGGCAAGCUAGAGUGCGGUAGAGGGUAGUGGAAUUCCCGGUGUAGCGGUGAAAUGCGUAGAGAUCGGGAGGAACACCAGUGGCGAAGGCGGCUACCUGGGACCAGCACUGACACUGAGGCACGAAAGCGUGGGGAGCAAACAGGAUUAGAUACCCUGGUAGUCCACGCCCUAAACGAUGCGAACUGGACGUUGGGAGCAACUUGGCUCUCAGUGUCGAAGCUAACGCGUUAAGUUCGCCGCCUGGGGAGUACGGUCGCAAGACUGAAACUCAAAGGAAUUGACGGGGGCCCGCA